AGGGAAACACUGCGGAUGAGCCUCAGUCUGCGGCCGCCGCGCCCUUUGAGCGCCGUCACCACGGUUACGCAGAUAAAGAUCAGGGCUCUGGGUGGUUAUUAACAAGCGUGAGGAUGAUUCACCGCCAAGAGGAAAUCCUGGUGGUGGCAACCGAAACGCUGCAUGUGCAGAAAGCCGAAGCAGGAAGAGAAAAACGAAUGCAGUUUGAGCCCACAGACACGGCAGGAAUCUGAUCCCGACCCGGCAGAGGGAUCAGAGGGAAGUGAUGAGUCCAGGGAACCGAGACCAGCUUCCCUUUUUGUUCGCCUCGUUUCUCCUCUUCCUCUUAUGUAACAGUGAAGCUCAAACACUGAAAACUGAAACACAUCCUGUUACUCACAAUCAAACUGAUAUUUUAUCGUAUAUAUUAUCAGAAACUAAUAAAACUAAAUUAAAAAAAAGCUCAUUUUAAUGCUAAGCAAGACGACAGUUUGUCACACCAGAUCACAGGUGGCUCUUAUAAAAACAUAUA